rnacentral:rRNA from 1 species
AUUGAACGCUGGCGGCAUGCCUUACACAUGCAAGUCGAACGGUAACGCGGGGCAACCUGGCGACGAGUGGCGAACGGGUGAGUAAAGCAUCGGAACGUGCCCAGUAGUGGGGGAUAGCCCGGCGAAAGCCGGAUUAAUACCGCAUACGACCUACGGGUGAAAGGGGGGGAUCGCAAGACCUCUCGCUAUUGGAGCGGCCGAUGUCAGAUUAGGUAGUUGGUGGGGUAAAGGCCUACCAAGCCGACGAUCUGUAGCUGGUCUGAGAGGACGACCAGCCACACUGGGACUGAGACACGGCCCAGACUCCUACGGGAGGCAGCAGUGGGGAAUUUUGGACAAUGGGCGCAAGCCUGAUCCAGCCAUGCCGCGUGCGGGAAGAAGGGCCUUCGGGUUGUAACCGCUUUGUCAGGGAAGAAACGACUCUGGGAUAAUACCCUGGGGUAAGUGACGGUACCUGAAGAAUAAGCACCGGCUAACUACGUGCCAGCAGCCGCGGUAAU